UGGUGAAGUCAAUGGGAGGAUUGAUGACUUGUCAGUUGGACCGACUUGUUUCUAGUCCACCCUGAUCUGACUUGGUGAAGUUAGUGGGAGGAUUUAGAUUAGUUGGUCUAUGUAUCUAACUUUCGAAAAUGAUCUGAGGUCAUAAAAUUUGAGAUGGAGUCUAUGGAGAUCAAUGGUAUAUGGGCACUAGUUGAUAUGUCUGAAGGGAUAAAACC
rnacentral:lncRNA from 1 species